ACUCGGGAUGAUAACUAGACGAACUGUCUCGAACUCUCCACGACCUUUGUCCUUUAAGUUCCCGGAAAAUCAAAUACCAUGCGCAGGACUCUUACACGUUUUCUCUUCCUUUCACUCU
rnacentral:snoRNA from 1 species